AUUGCACGCUGGCGGCAGGCCUAAAACAUGCAAGUCGAGCGGAGCGGCGGACGGGUGAGUAAUGCCUAGGAAUCUGCCUGGUAGUGGGGGAUAACGUCCGGAAACGGGCGCUAAUACCGCAUACUAUCAGAUGAGCCUAGGUCGGAUUAGCUAGUUGGUGGGGUAAAGGCCUACCAAGGCGACGAUCUGUAACUGGUCUGCGAGGAUGAGCAGUCACACUGGAACCGAUACACGGUCCACACUCCUACGCGAGUCAGCAGUGGGGAAUAUUGGGCAAUGGGCGAAAGCCUGAUCCAGCCAUGCCGCGUGUGUGAAGAAGGUCUUCUGGUUGUAAAGCACUUUAAGUUGUGAGGCGUUACCAACAGAAUAAGCACCGGCUAACUGCGAGCCAGCAGCCGCGGUAAUUC
rnacentral:rRNA from 1 species